rnacentral:rRNA from 1 species
AACGAACGCUGGCGGCAGGCUUAACACAUGCAAGUCGAGCGCCCCGCAAGGGGAGCGGCAGACGGGUGAGUAACGCGUGGGAAUCUACCCAUCUCUACGGAAUAACGCAUGGAAACGUGUGCUAAUACCGUAUACGUCCUUCGGGAGAAAGAUUUAUCGGAGAUGGAUGAGCCCGCGUUGGAUUAGCUAGUUGGUGGGGUAAAGGCCUACCAAGGCGACGAUCCAUAGCUGGUCUGAGAGGAUGAUCAGCCACACUGGGACUGAGACACGGCCCAGACUCCUACGGGAGGCAGCAGUGGGGAAUACUGGAGAAUGGGCGCAAGCCUGAUCCCGCCAUGCCGCGUGAGUGAUGAAGGCCCUAGGGUUGUGAAGCUCUUUCACCGGUGAAGAUAAUGACGGUAACCGGAGAAGAAGCCCCGGCUAACUUCGCGCCAGCCGCCGCAGUAAGAC